rnacentral:rRNA from 1 species
CCUACGGGUGGCAGCAGUAGGGAAUAUUGCUCAAUGGGGGAAACCCUGAAGCAGCAACGCCGCGUGGAGGAUGAAGGUUUUCGGAUUGUAAACUCCUUUUGUUAGAGAAGAUAAUGUCGGUAUCUAACGAAUAAGCACCGGCUAACUCCGUGCCAGCAGCCGCGGUAAUACGGAGGGUGCAAGCGUUACUCGGAAUCACUGGGCGUAAAGUGCGCGUAGGCGGGAUAGCAAGUCAGAUGUGAAAUCCUAUAGCUUAACCAUAGAACUGCAUUUGAAACUGUUAUUCUAGAGUAUGGGAGAGGUAGGUGGAAUUCUAGGUGUAGGGGUAAAAUGCGUAGAGAUCAAGAGGAAUACUCAGUGCGAAGGCGACCUGCUAGAACAUAACUGACGCUGAUGCGCGAAAGCGUGGGGAGCAAACAGGAUUAGAUACCCCAGUAGUC